rnacentral:lncRNA from 1 species
AAAAUAAAAUAAACAGAUACCUAUUUAAUGUCUUAUUGACAUUAAUUGAGUGUCUUUCUGGCAUUAAUCAAAUUUAGAACUAAAUUAAUAAAUCAAAAUUUUUCAUUAGAAAUUGUAAAAAUUAAAACAUUGAAAUUUGGAAACGAUUAAAAUAAGGAUAUUUUUAUAUAAUUAUGUUUUGUGGAAAUGUUAAAUUAAUGAACUAACCUCACGUUCUAAUCUUGACGAAGCAAAUAAAUUUUGCGAAAGCUCGAUUGUAACAAAGAGUUUCUCUCAUCCUGCCCCUUACACUGACUGCAACCUCAA